AUGAGUCUCUUUCAGACGUGCCCUUCCCGUGCACACUCUCCUUUUAAUUCCCUCAGCCUUGGGCAUGCAAAAGGCUGCUCUCCUGUCUGCCCUCCUGACCGCUCCAGGCAGAGGUGUGAGAGGUGCAUGACGGUGCUGUCUCUACACGUUAGCAAUUUCUGGCUAAUAAAACUGCCCUUUGGGCCACGGUUAACAAUUAGACCAACUCUGAACACUGGGCCCUGCCCAGUAUCACAGAGGCACAAGGUAAUUGAAAGCUGUUCGUGCUGCUGUUCCUCCUCGUGCCGGACGGAAAGAUCGAAACAAACAGACGGGCAAACAUUUCUUAUCUUCCCCUGGCAGCUGACAGCCAACUGCAGUUAUUGCCUCCAAGCCCCAGCCACGCUCUCCCUGACGGCUUCUGCAGGUUGCCUGGGGAAGGCAGUGCCUGCAAAAAGCUCCCAGAGCAUCCCUGGGGGGCCUGGCCCCAGUGCUUCGGGGAGCUGUAGGUGGGCUGAGCUGCAGGAGGCGACUGCUGGGACCUGGAGGUCAGACCCCAUGCAUAAGCGACGUGUGCUUGCUGCCAGCUUGACGCAACAGGAGGCAGCGGCUGCGUGCGGGGAACACACCCAGGCCCGGUGGGCCUUCAUCUACGGCCUCCAUGCACGCCCCGACACCCCGACCCCGCCACGACACCGCACCCCGACACCGCACCACGACGCCACCGACGCCGCGCCGCAGCUUUCCCACGGCCGCGCGCCGCGUGGGCGGCGCCGCGGCGGCUGGGGCGGGCGGCUAUUGGCCGAGCGCGGCGCGGCGGCGGCCAAUGGGUGAGGCGGGGGCCGCGCGUGGCGGCGGGCGGCGGCU
rnacentral:lncRNA from 1 species